AAGAAAAGUGUUGAAGGUUUACAGCCAGUUGGCCCGUAAUGAGGCGGCAGCCUUGAGGCAAGGGUAGGGAGAUAGUAGAUGGGUCUAACAGAGAAAAAAAAAACAAAAACAGAGCAAUGGCAACGAUCUGAGGAGGAACAUUAGUUUACUAAAUGCAGUAAAAUCAAACACAGUGAGAGUGUCCGAAGCCUUACGCUGUAGACUGCAGAGGGAGCCACGUGCUUCUGCGCAGCGAAACUGAAAGAAUAUGUGAGAGGGAGAGAGGCCGCUGUCCUGCCAGGUGCUCCACCUUUCUUGCUCUGGGCAAAAGCAAGAGAACUUCUUACCUCUGGGGAAUGCCACUUCUCCCCUUCCUUCUGAGAACCAAAAUGCCCAAAAAGGCAGCCCACAGAACCAGAACGUUAACUUGUGAACUCCCUAUGCUGUCCACGAUGUUAUGAUGUGGAAUACCAUCAAGAAAAAUCACAAAACCACAACAAGAGCUUAUGGGUGAAAAUCAGGGGUCGGUCCAGUGAAGGGCAUCUAGUGGUCGGGGUCUGCUACAGGCCACCUGAUCAGGGGGAGCCUGCUGACGAGGCCUUCUUGCUUCAGCUGCAGGAGGUGCCGCAUUUGCGGGCUCUUAUCCUGAUGGGGGAUUUCAACCACCCAGAUCUCUGCUGGGAUAGCAGCACGGCAGGUGGCAGACAAGCCAGGAGAUUCCAGGAUUACUUCCUCGUCCAGGUACUAGGCGGACCGACCCGAGGUGAAGCCCUACUCAGCAUGGAGCUCACCAGUGCAGAGGUGAGCGUUAGAGAAGUUAAGAUUGGAGGCAGCCUGAGCUGUCGUGACCAGGCCCUGGUGGAGUUUGUGCUCUGGAGGAAUGCAGGCUUGGCAAAAAACAGAAUCAGCAUCCUGAACUUCAGGAGAGCAAACUUCCAGCUGCUCAAGGAACUGCUGGAUGGGAUCUCCUGGAAAGCUGUCUUUAAGGGCAUAGAAAGAGAAUGCAGCCGGCAGCUCCUUAAAGACACCCUUCUGCCAGCGCAAGAAAUCUCCAUCUCCCAGCAGAAGAAAUGGAGCAGAGGAGACGGGCAAUCAGCAUGGCUGAGCAAGGACCCGCAGCUGAAACUGAUGGAGAAGAGAGACGUGUCCAGGAAGUGGAAGCAGGGUUGUGUAGCCUGGGAAGAACAUAGGAACACUGUUUGCAUGUGUAGAGAUAGGAUCAGGAAAACCUAUGCCCCCCCCAGGAGUUGUUCUUGGGGCUGGUGCUCUUCCCCACUUUUAUCAGUGACACAGACGAUGGCAUCAAGUGCAUCCUCAGCAAGGUUGCAGACAACACCAAGCUGAGCAGUGCCAUCAAUCCGCUGGAGGGAAGGGAAGCCACCCAGAGGGGCCUGGAUGGGCUGGAGAAGUGAGUGGGCUCCCAUGAACCUCAUGAGGUUCAACAAGGCCAAAUGCAAGGUGUUGCACUUGGGCCGGGGCAACCGCAGCUAUUUCUAUAGACUGGGGGAGGAUCUCCUUGAGAGCAGCCCUGCGGAGAAGGACUCGGGGGUCCUGGUAGACAAGAAGCUGGACGUGAGCCGGCAGUGUGCCUUUACAGCCCAGCUGUCUAUCAUCUGUGAAACCUCAUGGAGAACAGGAAAGAUGCCUGAAGGUUGGAGGAUAGCCAACGUCAUUCCAAUCUUCAAAAAGGUCAGGAGGGAGGUCUCAGGAAACUAUAGGCCAGUCAGGCUCACAUCCAUCCCUGGGAAAGUGUUGGACGAACUCGUUCUGGAUAUCAUCUCAAAGCAGGUGGGGAAAAAGAAGGGUUAUCCAGAGUAGUAAACUUGGAUUUACUACAAAAAGAUCAUGCCUGACUACUACCGGGGUAGCCUUUGUAGAUGUCAGGAGUGGCUGGGUAGCUGCCUUAGUAAUCCUUAAUGCUGGACCUGGCAAACGUUUCGAAUCGCAGGAUCCUGGGAUGGCUUGGGUUGGAAGAACACUGAAAUCUAUCCAGUUCCAAACUCCUGCAGUGUGUUGGUUGCCACCCACUAGAUCAGGCUGCCUGGAGCCCUGUCCAGUGAGGCCUUGAACAUCUCCUCCGCAGAGGGCGGCUCUCCCAUCAGCGUUGGCCUGACUUUCAUGCAGAAGCUGACUUUCAUGGUUCAUCCAGGCUGGAUGAGCAGGGAUGCUCCAGUGUGACUCCAGGACUGCAGCCCUGGGCAAGGGACGACUCCUCUUCUGUCUCUGGCAUGGUGACCAUUGCCAGCAGGCCAAAGAAAGCAAACCUCACAAGUUUUCCUGACUCAUUUUAUGUGCAGACUUGAAGGGAAUCGUGCCCUGCCUAUGCCACUUUGCCUCUGGGAACUGUAUAAGGCUUGAAGCUUUGAUGUGUGAAGACGUGGAUGGGAAAGGAUCAUAAAACCCAUCCAACCCCAAGUGCCUGCUGCGGAAGCGCUGCCACCCAGCAGGUCAGGUUAGAAGAGGGCCCUGUCCAACAUGGCCUGGAGCGCCUGCACCCACAGCUUCUCUGGGCAGCUGUGCCAAGGCCUCACCACCUUCCGAGUGAGGAAUUCCCUCUCGCAGUUCACCAGACCUCCUCUUUUCUCAGGUCAAAACCUUGUCCUGCCACCAUCAGGCGAUGGAAAGUUGGUCAGCAUACACACACUCGAGAUGCCGGCUGUGCUGUUGACCCGCAGACCUUUCUUAGACUCUCUGCUGCGACGUCCCAGCACGGGCGCACUGCAAAAGGCCUGAGGGAGGCCAUCCUUGUUCCCUGCUGAUGGCAGCACCAAGCCCCUCACUCUGCGCUGCCCACAGGAGCCGCCGCCCUGCCGCGCCCUCAGCCUGGUGGUGAGGUGGUGACAGUGAUGUCACAGUGGUGGCCAUUGUGACCCGCGGGCCGGGAGCAGAGCAAAGGCUGCCGGGCUGGAGCCCUGCUCAUUGCGGCCUGGUGAGGCGUGGAGAGAGCAGGGACUUUCUCGACUCUCUUGUUUCUCACUGUUGAUGCCGAACAUGUCUGAAGGAAAAGAGGAGGCCCCCAACUCCGGGGAGCCAGUGUGCGUGCUGUGCCACUGCGCACAGGUGAACCCGGACAUCUGUGGGCGGACAUUUGCCAGCGGUGGGCUCUGUGCCCACGAAUUCUGCUUGGUCUUUGCCAAUGGGCUUUUUGAAUGGAGAUGCCCAGUGGGGGGAAUUUUUGGCUUCCCCAUUGGCGCCAUCCAGCGCACAGUCCAGCUGGC